rnacentral:rRNA from 1 species
GUUAAAAAGCUCGUAGUUGGAUUCUGGCGGGGACCCAAGUACCCCUGGUGGGUGUGCUCGGGCCCGGCCAUCCUUCUGUAAACUUUCGCGCGUCCUUCACCGGUCGGCAAAGGGAUCAGAUAAUUUACCUUGAGAAAAUUAGAGUGUUUCAGGCAGGCUUAGCCGGAAUACAUUAGCAUGGAAUAAUGGAAUAGGACUGAGGUCUCGUUGUUGGUUACGCGGACUACAGUAAUGAUUAAUAGGGACAGUUGGGGGCAUUAGUAUUUAUUAGCUAGAGGUGGAAUUCUCUAAUUUGAUAAAGACUAACUUAUGCGAAAGCAUUUGCCAAGGAUGUUUUCAUUAAUCAAAGAACGAAAGUUAGGGGAUCAAGACGAUCAGAUACCGUCCUAGUCUUUACCGACUCGGGAUCGGGA